UGCGUAGGCGGCGCGGAAAGUUGGGUGUGAAAUCCCUCGGCUCAACCGAGGAAUUGCGCUCAAAACUACCGUGCUCGAGGGAGAUAGAGGAAUGCGGAACUUAGGGUGGAGCGGUGAAAUGCGUUGAUAUCCUAGGGAACACCGGUGGCGAAAGCGGCAUUCUGGAUCUCACCUGACGCUGAUGCACGAAAGCUAGGGUAGCAAAACG
rnacentral:rRNA from 1 species